rnacentral:misc_RNA from 1 species
AAAUUUUCAAAAAAAUUUAUUUUCCCAUGUUGUCCGUAGAGUCCGUUUGGUUAGGGACGAGAAUACAUUCUUGAAUUGGGUUGACAAAAUGCAUAUUAAAAAAUUAACUAUUUAAUGCAUCAACUGGUAGGGAAAGAAGAUGAAAAGAUAACUAAAAACUUCAUGAACUGGUUCUUUUACCCCGUUUGAUCCAUGUUUAAUAUAGAGAAUAUAUUAGGAAAUUUGUUCCUUUUGACCUGAUGAAAUUUCCAUUCCUAAGUUUGGUGAGUUGGAAAGAAGCUUAGGAUGUGCAAUGGAAGAGGACCUUACAGCACAAGUAUAGAAACAAAAACGUUGUUACUUCUUGAAUGAUUUUUAUCUCAUAAAAUCAUCUAAAUUGUAAACAUUAUACUCAAAAUAGAAAUUUACAAUGUUUGUCAAAGAUAAACAAUACUUACUUUUUUUACAAAAUGGUUUCAAGUGUAUCAUUACUUCAGUUACAUGCACAGUAAACAUGAUAAAUUCAAAGUGUCCAAACUACCUUCUAAGUUCUGACUUCUGAUAACUCCAACCAUGCACUUUCUUUUUGGCCAUUAUCAGUUUGGAAUUAGUACAUAAAACAAAAUCCAGAAUCCUUGUUAAACCAAUUUAACAAAAUGGGUUUUGUUGGAUAUCUAUAUGCAGAGGUCCAUGGACAGUUUGUGUUCAUAAAAUUAUUGUGGUCCAUAUUCUGAAAGUAAUUCUUCAAUGAGAUUGAUUCUGAAAAAUUCUCCUUCUGGUGAAAUGCUAUAAUUACAUUAUAUUGUUGCUUUCCUACAGUCUACAGAUGUAGUUUGAUAUGUAGAUGAGGGUUAGACUGAGGGUUAAAAUAAAUUUUGAUUGUUGGAUUGAUCAAAAUCGUACCAACCAAACCAAAACUG